AAUGUAAGGAUUCAUUGGCAAGAAAAUAUUCCACAUAUUUGGCUAGAAUCUUCAUUGUUUGUCUGCCAUCAAGGAAAAGAUUUUAAUGCCAAUAAGAAAAAGAAGUAUUCAGAAGAUCGGGAAUCAAAGGCUAAGAAUGAUCAUGUGUUUACUAGACACUACAAAAAAGUGCAAACAACAAAAAAACUGGAUUGUCAAGCUAGAAUUAAUGUCAAAAGAGUAGUACAAUUCAAAAAUCAUAAGUUGACUGGUGAUAUAACAGCAAGGAAAAAGCGAGCUGCCUCUGAGGCUUUAAAAAAGGGGAUCCUCGAUGAGACUUGUUUUGGAGAGGAGUGCUACAUUUAUAGCUUACCAA